rnacentral:rRNA from 1 species
UACGGGGGGGGCAAGCGUUGUUCGGAAUUACUGGGCGUAAAGGGCUCGUAGGCGGCCCGCUAAGUCGAACGUGAAAUCCCCGGGCUCAACCCGGGAACUGCGUCCGAUACUGGCAGGCUUGAAUCCGGGAGAGGGAUGUGGAAUUCCAGGUGUAGCGGUGAAAUGCGUAGAUAUCUGGAGGAACACCGGUGGCGAAGGCGGCAUCCUGGACCGGUAUUGACGCUGAGGCGCGAAAGCCAGGGGAGCAAACGGG